GUGGAGAUAUUAUGUAUUGGCGCUCCCCUGCUAAGGGAGUAUGGGGCUAAACACUCCAUCGAGGGUUCGAAUCCCUCUCUCUCCGCCA
rnacentral:tRNA from 1 species